AUUGAACGCUGGCGGCAUGCCUUACACAUGCAAGUCGAACGGCAGCACGGGUGCUUGCACCUGGUGGCGAGUGGCGAACGGGUGAGUAAUACAUCGGAACAUGUCCUGUAGUGGGGGAUAGCCCGGCGAAAGCCGGAUUAAUACCGCAUACGAUCUACGGAUGAAAGCGGGGGACCUUCGGGCCUCGCGCUAUCGGGUUGGCCGAUGGCUGAUUAGCUAGUUGGUGGGGUAAAGGCCUACCAAGGCGACGAUCAGUAGCUGGUCUGAGAGGACGACCAGCCACACUGGGACUGAGACACGGCCCAGACUCCUACGGGGGGCAGCAGUGGGGAAUUUUGGACAAUGGGCGAAAGCCUGAUCCAGCAAUGCCGCGUGUGUGAAGAAGGCCUUCGGGUUGUAAAGCACUUUUGUCCGGAAAGAAAUCCUUGGCCCUAAUACGGUCGGGGGAUGACGGUACCGGAAGAAUAAGCACCGGCUAACUACGUG
rnacentral:rRNA from 1 species